UACCAGCGGUUCAAGUCGCAGCCUCAUUUAUUAGGUCUAAAACAUCCGUAGCUUGCCUUGUAAGUUUUUUGUGAAAUCUUAUAUCUUAAGUAUAAGGCGUGCAAAAAAAUACUGCAGGGCUAGAGACUGGAAGACGCAAGAAGUACAAUUGAGGUAGCGGUUAAAUGUGUUGAUCUCAAUUGGACUAACAAUAGCGAAGGCAUCUUGCGAGUACAGAUCUGACAGUGAGGGAUGAAGGCUAGGGGCGCAAAACGGAUUAGAUACCCGUGUA
rnacentral:rRNA from 1 species